GUCUCAGUGCAAGCCAAGCCAAGGUGAAACCGCGAAUGGCUCAUUAAAUCAGUUAUGGUUCAUUGGAUCGUACCACACAGUACUUGGAUAACUGUGGUAAUUCUAGAGCUAAUACAUGCGAACAGAGUCCCGACCGGAGACGGGAGGGAUGCUUUUAUUAGAUCAAAACCAAUCGGCCGGUCGCCGGGCCUCGCGCCCGUCGCGGUCCGGUCCGUUUGCUUUGGUGACUCUGGAUAACUUGGAGCCGAUCGCACGGUCCUCGCGCCGGCGACGCGUCCUUCAAAUGUCUGCCUUAUCAACUGUCGAUGGUAGGCUCUGCGCCUACCAUGGUCGUAACGGGUGACGGGGAAUCAGGGUUCGAUUCCGGAGAGGGAGCCUGAGAAACGGCUACCACAUCCAAGGAAGGCAGCAGGCGCGCAAAUUACCCACUCCCGGCACGGGGAGGUAGUGACGAAAAAUAACGAUACGGGACUCAUCCGAGGCCCCGUAAUCGGAAUGAGAACACUUUAAACCCUUUAACGAGUAUCCAUUGGAGGGCAAGUCUGGUGCCAGCAGCCGCGGUAAUUCCAGCUCCAAUAGCGUAUAUUAAAGCUGUUGCGGUUAAAAAGCUCGUAGCUGGACCUGUGUCCCACGCUGUCGGUUCACCGUUCGUCGGUGUCCAACUGGCACGCCCGUGCGGACGUCCUGCCGGUGGACGCGGUCGGCCGCGGGGCGCCCCGCCCCCCCCCGACCCGCGCGUCGGCGGUCCGGUGCAAUCCCGCCGCGGUGCUCUUCACCGAGUGUCGAGGUGGGCCGGCACGUUUACUUUGAACAAAUUAGAGUGCUCAAAGCAGGCAGUGGUUGGCCUGGAUGCUGUGUGCAUGGAAUAAUGGAAUAGGACCUCGGUUCUAUUUUGUUGGUUUUCGGAACCCCCGAGGUAAUGAUUAAUAGGGACAGACGGGGGCAUUCGUAUUGCGACGUUAGAGGUGAAAUUCUUGGAUCGUCGCAAGACGGACGAAAGCGAAAGCAUUUGCCACGAGUGUUUUCGUUAGUCAAGAACGAAAGUUAGAGGUUCGAAGGCGAUCAGAUACCGCCCUAGUUCUAACCAUAAACGAUGCCAGCCGGCGAUCCGCCGAUGUUCCUCCGAUGACUCGGCGGGCAGCUUCCGGGAAACCAGAGCUUCUGGGUUCCGGGGGAAGUAUGGUUGCAAAGCUGAAACUUAAAGGAAUUGACGGAAGGGCACCACCAGGAGUGGAGCCUGCGGCUUAAUUUGACUCAACACGGGAAACCUCACCAGGCCCGGACACCGGAAGGAUUGACAGAUUGAGAGCUCUUUCUUGAUUCGGUGGGUGGUGGUGCAUGGCCGUUCUUAGUUGGUGGAGCGAUUUGUCUGGUUAAUUCCGAUAACGAACGAGACUCCGGCCUGCUAACUAGUCGCACUUGCGGUACCCUUCGUGCUACCGGCGACAGAUGAUCUUCUUAGAGGGACAGGCGGCUCCUAGCCGCACGAGAUCGAGCAAUAACAGGUCUGUGAUGCCCUUAGAUGUUCUGGGCCGCACGCGCGCUACACUGAAGGAAUCAGCGUGUCCUCCUGGCCCGAGAGGGCCGGGUAACCCGUUGAAACUCCUUCGUGCUGGGGAUUGGGGCUUGCAAUUGUUCCCCAUGAACGAGGAAUUCCCAGUAAGCGCGAGUCAUGAGCUCGCGUUGAUUACGUCCCUGCCCUUUGUACACACCGCCCGUCGCUACUACCGAUUGAAUGAUUUAGUGAGGUCUUCGGACCGGCGCGCGGCGGCUCCACCUUCCUCCACCCCGGGGUCGGAGGCCGCUGAUGUCGCUGGGAAGAUGACCGAACUUGAUCAUUUAGA
rnacentral:rRNA from 1 species